AUAAAUUCUGGAGUUGGGAUUUAU
rnacentral:siRNA from 1 species